UUUAAGUUUGGAUUGAUGGCCAAGUUAGGUGUAAAGUUUGGCUUAUUUUUGAAGCAAAUUUGGUGCACACUACCUGAGGCACAGGCUGCCACACAUUCGUGUGUCACACAUGGUCAGCCCACACGGUCGUAUGUCUUAAUGUUUUCAGAUGCAGUUUUCACACGGUCUGGCACAUUGUUUGCAACAUGGUUGUGUGCCCUAAAAAAGUUUCUUACACAAUCUGGGACAAGGCCAGUGACACAACUGUGUGACCCAACAUCGAAUGCACACACUAUUAGGCACAUGGCUUGCGACAUGGUCACGUGGCCUUAAUUC
rnacentral:lncRNA from 1 species